rnacentral:lncRNA from 1 species
GAGGGGGUGGAGAGGAGUUCUCGACGGCGGCGUGAGGCCGAAACCGUCGGUGCGAAGGGGGAAACUAAACUCUUAUCGCUUUUCUGUUGCCCCAAAGAGAGGAGAGAGAAAAAACGUCUAUAUUCCAAAGAACUUAUUAUUACUUGGACAAUAGGUGAAUAAUUAAGUAUUUCCACAUACACGCAUAACAUAUAAAGUUUUUUGGGUUGUAUAUAUUCUUUAAAAUUUAUAAGUAUAUUAAUUAAAAAAGUAUAUUAAUUAAAUAAAUAAAAACAUAUCAAUAUAUAUUUUU